rnacentral:rRNA from 1 species
AUUGAACGCUGGCGGAAUGCUUUACACAUGCAAGUCGAACGGCAGCACGGGGGCAACCCUGGUGGCGAGUGGCGAACGGGUGAGUAAUAUAUCGGAACGUGCCCAGUCGUGGGGGAUAACGUAGCGAAAGUUACGCUAAUACCGCAUACGAUCUACGGAUGAAAGCGGGGGAUCGCAAGACCUCGCGCGAUUGGAGCGGCCGAUAUCAGAUUAGGUGGUUGGUGGGGUAAAGGCUCACCAAGCCAACGAUCUGUGGCUGGUCUGAGGGGACGACCAGCCACACUGGGACUGAGACACGGCCCAGACUCCUACGGGAGGCAGCAGUGGGGAAUUUUGGACAAUGGGCGCAAGCCUGAUCCAGCCAUUCCGCGUGCAGGACGAAGGCCUUCGGGUUGUAAACUGCUUUUGUACGGAACGAAAAAGCCUUGGCUAACACCCAGGGUCCAUGACGGUACCGUAAGAAUAAGCACCGGCUAACUACGUGCCAGCAGCCGCGGUAA